rnacentral:rRNA from 1 species
UUAAGCAUAUCAAUAAGCGGAGGAAGAGAAACCAACAGGGAUUGCCCCAGUAACGGCGAGUGAAGCGGCAACAGCUCAGAUUUGAAAUCCGGCCCCCCCGCGGGGCCCGAGUUGUAAUCUGCAGAGGAUGCCUCUGGCGCGGCCCCUUCCGAGUUCCCUGGAACGGGACGCCAUAGAGGGUGAGAGCCCCGUCCGGUCGGCGGCCCGCGCCUCUGUGAGGCUCCUUCGACGAGUCGAGUAGUUUGGGAAUGCUGCUCAAAAUGGGAGGUAUAUGUCUUCUAAAGCUAAAUACCGGCCAGAGACCGAUAGCGCACAAGUAGAGUGAUCGAAAGAUGAAAAGCACUUUGAAAAGAGGGUUAAACAGUACGUGAAAUUGUUGAAAGGGAAGCGCUCGCGACCAGACUCGGCCGCGGCGGAUCACCCGGCGUUCUCGCCGGCGCACUCCGCCGCGGCCGGGCCGGCGUCGGCUCGCCACGGGGGAUAAAGGCGUCGGGAACGUGGCUCCCCCGGGAGUGUUAUAGCCCGGCGCGCAAUGCCCCGCGGCGGGCCGAGGUCCGCGCGUCUGCAAGGACGCCGGCGUAAUGGUCGCCAGCGACCCGUCUUGAAACACGGACCAAGGAGUCGUCCUCGUAUGCGAGUGUUCGGGCGUCAAACCCCUACGCGAAAUGAAAGUGAACGCAGGUGGGAGCCUCGCGGCGCACCAUCGACCGAUCCUGAUGUUCUCGGAUGGAUUUGAGUAAGAGCAUACGGGGCCGGACCCGAAAGAAGGUGAACUAUGCCUGUGUAGGGUGAAGCCAGAGGAAACUCUGGUGGAGGCUCGCAGCGGUUCUGACGUGCAAAUCGAUCGUCAAACAUGGGCAUGGGGGCGAAAGACUAAUCG